UUUCUGGACUACUUAAGACAAUGCAAGAUCUGAUAUUCCUUAAAAAUAAGAAGCAUUAGUGAUGUAAAUCACUCUUCUCAAAUCAGAUAAAGUAGAAGCCCGGCGACCUUAACUUAUUUGAAAUUAACUUAUUUACUUGAAAUCGUUAUUUUUCUUUCUAAAAUUAAAAACACGGUUUUUAAAUUGAGCGAAGAAUUUUUAUUUACAUGUGAAUAAAAGAGUGGAGUUAGAAUUUUCCUUUUUAAAACGUUGAUCAAAAGAUACUGGGGCCAAAUAUCUGAAGAAAAACUUCCUGUUGUGUCUUUCUUCUAAUUAAAGUUUUCCUGGAUUUCUUAAAGAAAGUAAUAGUGAGUGGAAUUGACCUUUCUGCUUCAUACAGGGCGCAGAUACACAACUAGGUAUGACUGAGGAAUAUAUUAAAAAACGACCAAAUCCUGGCUGGGAAAUAGAAAUGGAAUUGACAAGGAAAGCUAUCAGGACUGAGAAUAAUCUAUCUCCAAAACCUCGUUUUUUUGUUGUUUGUGGUGAUCUUAUUCAUGCAAUGCCAGGUUCCUGUUUUGACUGCAGAACAAGAGUCUUGGUUAGAAACACAGAAGAUGCAGAAAAUGGGAAUUAUAAACAUGUAAUCAUAUUUUAACAUAUUCCAUGGUUUUUGGAAAAAUCCUGAUGAAUCAAAAAUUUAUUUUAAUCUUCUUCCUGUUAUUCGUCAAAAGUGGCUUCCCAAAUUUCGAGAUGCCAAUUCGCCUGUAACAUAUCUAGAGCCCGGGCUUCUGUAUCAGUUGAGGAUUAUGAAAAAUAUUUUGAAAACUUGGGUACUCAGCUUGAAGGAGUCCCACCAGAAAAUAUCUGGAACUACGACGAAACAAACAUUUCUGACGAUCCUGGGAGAAAGAAAAUUUUAUGUU
rnacentral:lncRNA from 1 species